AUUACAAACAGAAGAACAUACACUCCUUAGAAAAGAGGGCCAAUAAAUAUGAAAUCUAAGUUAAGACAUUAAAGCAAUGACAGAAAAAAAAUAAUACUAACUAUGUACAUAUUUCCAUAUUUCAUUAAUCAAGGUCAUGAAGGAGAGAAAAGACAACUUUGCGGCCAUGCCCGUCCUCAAGAAUCAUUGCCCUUCCUUGCAAGUUUGUCUUGUCCAGAAUCUCCAUCUUUGAUGGACCACAUACAUAGGCUCCAUAGAUCAUCGAGUCACAUGGCUCGUAAAGGAAUCUGUGAACGUUCUUGGAGCCGUUUUGCUGCUUGGACUAGAACAUGGUUUCCUGAUCUAACCAUCUUCUUCAGCUGGUGCAUGUAGCUCUCAAACGCAAAGGCACUGCAUUUGUCUAAUGAUCCAUAUGUGGUGGCAUCAGCAGUGAGGUGAAGCAGUGAGUGCACAUUGUACACUAGGAAUUCUUUCCCAUAUAUGUACCGGCCUUGUUCUACAAAAUAUGUGAGGAGCUCAUGGGCAUACACAUUGUGGGUUUGUGUUAAAUGUGGAGACACUAGUAUACACAAAGCCACACUAAAGGCCAUGAAAUGACUGUACAGGGAUUCUGGCAGGAUUCCCCGGAGAACAACUUUGCCAGUGUAGAGCAUAAACUGCCUGAAUUCAGUGGCCUUCCAUCUCUCCAAAUCCUCCAGACUGCGUGGCUUCCUGGCAAAAAUAUGGGGUAUGUCACUUCUCAAAUUCCUUAGCCUCUGAUUGACCUCCCUCAGCUGAGCUGGCGAUAGCCGAUGCCCCGACUUGCCCUGUGACCAUAGUAGGAGCAUUUUUCUCAUCACUCCCAGACAGCACUGGUGCAUGUAGUCAGCAGGGAAAGACUUGAUCAUGUCAAUUUGGAGAUUGCUGAAAGGGGACAAAGCAUUUUUCGUGAUGAUGUUCUGGCUGGUGUUGCUCUCUAAAUGAGACAUCAUUCCUCAAAGUGAGGUCAUGCACUUGUUGGUACGUGAUGCGCCCCUCCCAGUUG
ensembl:lncRNA